rnacentral:rRNA from 1 species
UACGUAGGUCCCGAGCGUUGUCCGGAUUUAUUGGGCGUAAAGCGAGCGCAGGUGGUUUAUUAAGUCUGGUGUAAAAGGCAGUGGCUCAGCCAUUGUAUGCAUUGGAAACUGGUAGACUUGAGUGCAGGAGAGGAGAGUGGAAUUCCAUGUGUAGCGGUGAAAUGCGUAGAUAUAUGGAGGAACGCCGGUGGCGAAAGCGGCUCUCUGGCCUGUAACUGACACUGAGGCUCAAAAGCGUGGGGAGCAAACAGG